CCUACGGGUGGCAGCAGUAGGGAAUAUUGCUCAAUGGGCGAAACUCUGAAGCAGCAACGCCGCGUGGAGGAUGAAGGUUUUCGGAUUGUAAACUUCUUUUGUUAGAGAAGAAAAUGACGGUAUGUAACGAUUAUGCACUGGACAACUCCGUGCCAGCAGCCGCGGUUAUACGGCGGGUGCAGGCGUUACCCGGAAUGAAUGGGCGUAAAGUGGGCGUAGGUGGUAUAGCAAGUCAGAUGGUCAAUCCUUUGGCUAAACCAUAGAAUUGCAUUUGAAACUGUUAGUCUUGAGUAUCGGAGAGGUAGGUGGAAGUCUUGGUGUAGCGGUAAAAUGCGUAGAGAUCAAGAAGAAUACUCAUUGCGAAGGCGACCUGCUAGAACAUAACUGACGCUGAUGCGCGAAAGCGUGGGGAGCAAACAGGAUUAGAUACCCGGGUAGUC
rnacentral:rRNA from 1 species